rnacentral:piRNA from 1 species
UGUGUGAAGUAUUUGAUCCAAACAGUGUU